rnacentral:lncRNA from 1 species
AUGAGGAAACGCCCCUUCCCUAAGGCCUUCGCGGCGAACCUUCCCUCACGUGCUCAGGAGUGUGUCUGGGUCCCCCUGCUCAGCCCCGGGCCCCUUCGGAGGAAGGGGACGGAGACCUGGGGGCCCCCGGGAGGCCCUUGCCUUAUCAAGCCUCGGCUACGGUCGGGCGCAGAGGAGCGUGUGCGCUCUGGACGGCCCGCGCAGCAGGGGGUAAUCACGUGCGCUCUGUGCCUCCGAGCUCAUGCGCAGAUACCUCCCCGGGCCUGUCUCGCUCCCUCCCUCCCUUUUACGUCACUUCCUCCCAAUCCCCCUACGUCACUUCCGAGGGUUCUGCGUCUGCCUCGUCAGGUUCACCAUCACAGCGCCGCUUCAUCUUCAGCCGCCCCCCUCUGCUGCCGGAGCCCUUCGUCCUGGCCCGGGCUCUGCCUGUAAGAACUGCCCUUUCCCAAAGCAGGAAGGACCAAGGAGGAGGAAGAGGAAGAAAUGGUUCCUGUGUGCCUGACGGCUGGGGCUCUGGGGGUGAGUUUUCGUCACGUGCGGUGGCCACAGUGGCCUGGGCCUGAGAGUGUGAACUUGUCUUUCCUGUGGCCUGGAGCUUCAGAAAUUGGAGCCGUCCUGGGUUUAGAGAGGGAAGGCAGGGUAGAGAUCAUGGGGUCCAGCCACCCAUUUUACAGGAGAGGAGCCUGAGGCCCUGAGUGGGGCAGAGACUUUUCACACAGCUGGGAAACUGGCCAGUUUUCUGGAGGGACUGGCCAGGUGAAGAGGACCAGGAGGAAGCUGGCUGGGAGGACAACGUGCCCAGCUAUGAGCGUGUCCAGUAGGGGACUGAGCCUCUUCAGAGGUGUGGCAGCUGGCACCUCCUCUUUCCCCUGCAGCUCCCACCCCACUUACCAGAGACUUGGACACAGGCUGGAAACGGUCAAGCCCAAGAUGCUGGGAUUCUGAGCAGAGCAGCCAGUAUUGGCUUCUAGGUGAUUCCUGUCAAUCCAAGAUGAACUGCCAGGUAUUUGUCAAUCCAGCACUUUCCUGGAUAGUUUUAAGUUCUCCCCUAGUCAGUGGAUAUGUAUCAUCUUGGGAAGUCUUAGAUUUUUCCCUUUAUGUAUAACUCUUUUCUGCUUGGGGGAGCUAAGGGAUUAGACCAGAGGUGCUGGCUGGGCUGGGCAGCCAGCGUCAGGGUUGGCCCUUAAUAAAAAAAAAAAAAAGGACA